rnacentral:rRNA from 1 species
UUCCAGACUCCUACGGGAGGCAGCAGUGGGGGAUAUUGCACAAUGGAGGGAACUCUGAUGCAGCGACGCCGCGUGAGGGAUGGAGGUCUUCGGAUCGUAAACCUCUGUCAGCAGGGAAGAACGGUCACUGUGCUAAUCAGCAGUGAAUUGACGGUACCUGCAAAGGAAGCACCGGCUAACUCCGUGCCAGCAGCCGCGGUAAUACGGAGGGUGCGAGCGUUAAUCGGAAUUACUGGGCGUAAAGCGCUCGUAGGCGGGAUGUCAAGUCAAGGGUGAAAUCCCCGCGCUCAACGUGGGAACUGCCUUUGAAACUGGCAAACUGGAGUGUGUGAGAGGAUAGGGGAAUUCCAGGUGUAGGAGUGAAAUCCGUAGAUAUCGGGAGGAACAUCAGUGGCGAAGGCGACUAUCUGGCACAUAACUGACGCUGAGGAGCGAAAGCGUGGGUAGCAAACAGGAUUAGAUACCCUCGUC